GGGUAGUGGAGAGACAGUGGGAAGAUGUCCCGAGUGACGCGCCCUUAGUCAGCCCUGUCUUGUCGCCCCGUUCCUCGGCUCAGCCGGUUCUCACCCUAUUUCGUGUGCCCUCCUGCUUCCUAUACCACCGGCGCCUCGCCCUCGCUCUGCCCCUUUGCUUGCCUCCAGGCAGAUAACGCCAGUGACAGCACACCACUGAACACGCCAUCCUGUUUUCCCAGCCAUUGCCCAGUGACCUUUAGUACCUCCCUGCACCGGGGACCGAUUGCCCUCUGUGCUCCACAGCGAGGACGAGAGCAGGCGGCGUGUGGCUUUGCUGCCUGUCGUCCUGGUGCUGCGAGUUUCUAACCUGCUUCUUUCUGCUCCAACAGCCUCUACUACAUCACGCUCUUCACCUUCUUCAUGGCUCUUGUUCACUUCCUCUCUGAAGUCUUCAUUUACCAUACUGCAGCCUUGACGAUUGGAGUCAUGGCACCCCUCAUGGUAGCAAGUUUCUCUAUCCUGGGGAUGCUGAUCGGGCUACAGUACCUAGAGGUAGAAGCACAGUCAGAAAAUAAGAAGAAAAACUGAGGCUGAGAGCACUGUAAAGGUCAGCGUCAUCUCCUGUUCUCACUGCCAAACUUCCACUAAAGCUCUGAACUUCUCCAGAAUGGCAGUCCUAGUGGCAGAUUGAUGUUGGACUCUGUCAAUCAUCCUUCACUACUGAGUGUUUUAUCUUGUCCAGGCAACAUUUCAGCUGACUGGUGUCAAAGACAAGCCCCCACAGGAGCCUGUCCAAGCUUGCAGGGAGCACUUGGUGGCUGCCUCCCUGCAGGGCAGGGAGUGCCUUGGGCAUGCCUAUGAAAAUGCUAAGGCCUGCCCCUGCUGCACCCAUGAGGAGGAGGUACAGAGCCACCCAGGGUCCACUGAACGCUUUGGAUAGGAAAAAGAAAUGUGUGCUGCUGUGGUCCAACUGUGUAACUUGCAUGUGUGUGUUCUGCAGGGGCCAUUUCUAAUAAAUGACAGAAAACAGA